UCGCCUAGUGAUGUUCAAACGUUACUUUUGUAUUAUUAUGUGUGACUGUGUGCAGUGACUACCGCAGUUUCAGCCUAAGGUUCCGUUUCGCCAGCCGGUGCAUGAUGCACAGCUCGUGGCUAUCACGCUAGUGAACACGAAUCGGGAUGGGGGGGGAAAAAACACAGAUGAGAAGCUUUCCCCGGGAUUAAAACCCCGUCCUCUUGAAAGGUUCUAUAUCGUCGGUCGUCGUUAGUCGGCGUCGGUUUCCUUUCUGUACAGUGCUCUCUACAGCGAAAAAUCACACAAAGCACAACUACACGUAAAAUGGUGUGCUUGAAAUGUUUUAUUGGGUUUUAAUUCAGGUCUUUUUACACGUGGAAGUCAGAUGGGAGACCUGAAAACAACAACGGACAAAUUUGUUACAUAGGGUGGCAAGAAGUCCAGAUGAAAUGGACUUGAAUGAAGCAAUACAGUGACUUGCACUGUUGCAGGUGUCCACCAGAUGCUGCAAGCAGACAGAGCCUUUGCAGAAAAACCACAUGAUUUCACAUGUGGAAAAUCAUCUGAUUUCACGUGACAUUUCCACAUGUUUUGCACAUGAGAAAUCAUGUGUUUUUGGAACACAUGACGUGAUGAUAUUUCACAUGUGGAUUUUCACAGAAUCCGGUGAGGCACAGCAAGAGAUGUCGAUCCAGCGGGGGAAAAAGAGAGGAAGAGAGAAGCUGCUCAGAAUUUCACCCCUGGAUUCGGAACGUUUCGGAAUCGCCUCUACUGCAGAAUAUUUGCUGCAUGACUGACUCAGACCUUGGCCGAUGGCACGGGACUUUUGGCCAAUCAGAGAACCCCAUGGUCAGACAGACGGACAGCCCUAGCAUGUCUCCUGGCCCCUCCUGUCUUCGCCUCCAGUAUUUAUGCUGCAGUAGUUUAUGUGUGAGUUUGUUAUAUCUGGAGUAUUUCUCCUGUCUUAUCCGGUGUCCUGUGUGAAUUUAAGUAUGCUCUCUCUAAUUCUCUCUUUCUCUCUCUCUCUCGGAGGACCUGAGACCUAGGACCAUGCCUCAGGACUACCUGGCAUGAUGACUCCUUGCUGUCCCCAGUCCACCUGGCCGUGCUGUUGCUCCAGUUAACUGUUCUGCCUGUGAUGAUUAUUAUUUGACCAUGCUGGUCAUUUAUGAACAUUUGAACAUCUUGGCCAUGUUCUGUUAUAAUCUCCACCCGGCACAGCCAGAAGAGGACUGGCCACCCCUCAUAGCCUGGUUCAUCUCUAGGUUUCUUCCUAGGUUCUGGCCUUUCUAGGGAGUUUUUCCUAGCCACCGUGCUUCUACACCUGCAUUGCUUGCUGUUUGGGGUUUUAGGCUGGGUUUCUGUGCAGCACUUUGAGAUAUCAGCUGAGGUAUGAAAAUAAAUCGAGAAAUUACAAUAGUGGAUCCAAACUCUCAUCUCCUUUUCAAAAAAAUGAAAAAAAGUUGUCUUCCUGACCUGGUUGACUGGGACUAAGGUACUGGAGUACCAGUGUAGGCCACCGGGUCUGUGAUGGUCCUUUGGGGUGAGGUAGUAGGUUGUAUAGUUUUAGGGUCAUACCCUUCCUGUCAGAUAACUAUACAACUUACUGUCUUUCCUGAAGUGGCUGUAAUAUCAUCCAUCAUCUCUGCAGCGCGCCCGCCACCUGGACCUCGAUGGGAAUAUGUACUAUGAACCAAUUCAAGAUGAUAACAUGCUUGUAAUGUCAUUCAUAUGGCAUCUAUGCAUCAUUUGGUUCUGUUUUGGUAUGGCUCUUUGUUCAUUUCAAUACUUUUGUUUGUAUGAUGUAUUUAUUAUUUUGCCAUGAAAGUGAUCUGCCUCUCUGAUGUUCGCACGGGGUGAGGUAGUAGGUUGUGUGGUUUCAGGGUAGUGAUUUUGCCCCAUCAGGAGAUAACUAUACAACUUACUGCCUUCCCUGAAGGGCAGCAACACUACACCAGAAAACUCCAGAGGGCGCUGUUGGCACCACGUGAUAAUCUAGCAUUGGUACGAGGUCAUCUAGCUUUUGAUCAGCUACAGAGGUGACUGCAGCGUUUCAGGUAAAGUCUACUGACAAUCUAGUAUUACGAUGUAGCUACCAUGUUAUUUGAUCACUUUGAAAUAGUAUUUAUUCAAAUAAGCAAUAAAAAAUUAUUAUUUUAUAAAUGUCAA